GGAGUUUGAUUCUGGCUCAGAACGAACGCUGGCAGCGUGGAUUAGGCAUGCAAGUCGAACGGGAAGCCUUGUGCUCAAUCUUCGGAGGGAAAACAAGGUGGAGAGUGGCGAAAGGGUGAGUAACGCGUGAGCAAUUUGCCUUCAAGUUCGGGACAACCCCGCGAAAGCGGAGCUAAUACCGGAUGUGGUACUCCUACGCAUGUGGGGGCUACUAAAGGUGGGGAUCCUUCGGGACCUGCCGCUUGGAGAGAAGCUCGCGUCCCAUCAGCUUGUUGGUAGGGUAAUGGACUACCAAGGCUUACGGGUAGCCGGCCUGAGAGGGUGAUCGGCCACACUGGGACUGAGACACUGCCCAGACUCCUACGGGAGGCUGCAGUCGAGGAUCAUUCGCAAUGCGCGAAAGCGUGACGAUGCGACGCUGCGUGGAGGAUGACGGCCUUCGGGUUGUAAACUCCUGUCAUGAGGGAAAAGACAGCGGAGGGGUAAUACCCCUUCGCUCCGAUGGUACCUCAAGAGGAAGCCACGGCUAACUCUGUGCCAGCAGCCGCGGUAAUACAGAGGUGGCGAGCGUUGUUCGGAUUUACUGGGCGUAAAGGGUGCGUAGGUGGUUCGGUAUGUCGGAUGUGAAAGCCCGGGGCUCAACUCCGGAAUUGCAUUCGAAACUGCAGAACUAGAGUACAGGAUGGGAGAGCGGAAUUCUUGGUGUAGCGGUGAAAUGCGUUGAUAUCGAGAAGAACACCGGUGGCGAAGGCGGCUCUCUGGAAUGUUACUGACACUGAGGCACAAAAGCUGGGGGAGCAAACAGGAUUAGAUACCCUGGUAGUCCCAGCCGUAAACGGUGUGAACUUGGUGUAGGGGGUAUUGACCCCCCCUGUGCCGGAGCUAACGCGUUAAGUUCACCGCCUGGGGAGUACGGCCGCAAGGUUAAAACUCAAAGAAAUUGACGGGGGCCCGCACAAGCGGAGGAGCAUGUGGCUUAAUUCGAUGCAACGCGAAGAACCUACCUGGGUUUGACAUCCGAGGGGCUUGCCCCUAAUACGUGAAAGCGUACUAACGAGACAGGUGCUGCAUGGCUGUCGUCAGUUCGUGCCGUGAGGUGUUGGGUUAAGUCCCGCAACGAACGCAACCCUUGUGUUUAGUUGCCACCCCCGAGUAAUCGGGGCGCACUCUAGACAGACUGCCCGUACAAGCGGGAGGAAGGUGGGGAUGACGUCAAGUCCGUAUGGCCCUUACAUCCAGGGCUGCACACGUGCUACAAUGGCCGGUACAGAGGGCCGCAAUACCGCGAGGUGGAGCAAAUCCCUAAAAGCCGGCCCCAGUUCGGAUUGGAGUCUGCAACUCGACUCCAUGAAGUCGGAUUCGCUAGUAACGGCGUAUCAGCUACGACGCCGUGAAUACGUUCCCGGGCCUUGUACACACCGCCCGUCACAUCAUGAAAGCCGUCUGCACCCGAAGUCACUGAGCCAACC
rnacentral:rRNA from 1 species